rnacentral:rRNA from 1 species
CACGUAGGGCGCGAGCGUUGUCCGGAAUUAUUGGGCGUAAAGAGCUCGUAGGCGGCCUGUUGCGUCCGCUGUGAAAGCCCGGGGGCUUAACCCCGGGUCGGCAGUGGAUACGGGCAGGCUAGAGGUAGGUAGGGGAGAAUGGAAUUCCCGGUGUAGCGGUGAAAUGCGCAGAUAUCGGGAGGAACACCGGUGGCGUAGGCGGUUCUCUGGGCCUUACCUGACGCUGAGGAGCGAAAGCGUGGGGAGCGAACAGG